rnacentral:rRNA from 1 species
AUCCGUGUGGCAAUACGAAGACGUGACGCGGACCGAAAUAAAGUAGGGAAGCAUGUGAGCCAUGUGCCAAGAAAAGCCGCUAUAGAUCAUACCGUACCCGUACCGUAAACCGACACAGGUAGAUGAGGAGAGAAUCCUAAGGCCGACGGGAGAAGCAUUGUUAAGGAACUCGGCAAAAUGACCCCGUAACUUCGGGAGAAGGGGUGCCCACGCGAGUGGGCCGCAGAGAAUAGGCUCAAGCAACUGUUUAGCAAAAACACAGGUCUAUGCGAAACCGAAAGGUGAGGUAUAUGGGCUGACGCCUGCCCGGUGCUGGAAGGUUAAGAGGAGGAGUCAGGCAACGAAGCUCCGAAUUUAAGCCCCAGUAAACGGCGGCCGUAACUAUAACGGUCCUAAGGUAGCGAAAUUCCUUGUCGGGUAAGUUCCGACCCGCACGAAAGGCGUAAUGAUUUGAGCACUGUCUCGACAAUGCACCCGGUGAAAUUGAAGUACCAGUGAAGAUGCUGGUUACCUGCGCCAGGACGGAAAGACCCCAUGGAGCUUUACUCCAGUUUGAUACUGGGAUUCGAUACUGAAUGUACAGGAUAGGUGGGAGGCUGAGAAGCGUGGACGCCAGUCUGCGGUGAGCCGCUGUUGGGAUACCACCCUUUGAGUAUUGGAUUUCUAACCUGCGCCCGUGACCCGGGCGGGGGACAAUGUCUGACGGGGAGUUUGACUGGGGCGGUCGCCUCCGAAAGGGUAUCGGAGGCGCUCAAAGGUUCCCUCAGAAUGGUUGGAAACCAUUCGCAGAGUGCAAAGGCAGAAGGGAGCUUGACUGUGACACCGACGGGUGGAGCAGGUACGAAAGUAGGACUUAGUGAUCCGGUGGUAUGAAAGUGGGAUUGCCAUCGCUCAACGGAUAAAAGCUACCCUGGGAUAACAGGCUUAUCACUCCCAAGAGUUCACAUCGACGGAGUGGUUUGGCACCUCGAUGUCGGCUCAUCGCAUCCUGGGGCUGUAGCAGGUCCCAAGGGUUGGGCCGUUCGCCCAUUAAAGCGGUACGCGAGCUGGGUUCAGAACGUCGUGAGACAGUUCGGUCCCUAUCCGGCGCAGGCGUAGGAUAUUUGAGAGGAGCUGUCCUUCGUACGAGAGGACCGGGAUGGACAGACCGCUGGUGUAUCUGUUGGUGACCAACACCAUGGCAGAGUAGCCAAGUCUGGCAGGGAUAAACGCUGAAGGCAUCUAAGCGUGAAGCCCCCCUCAAGAUGAGAUAUCCAAUAAGUAAGACCCCUUAGAGAGUAUGAGGUAGAUAGGCUUAAGGUGUAAGCAUAGCAAUAUGUUCAGCUGAUAAGUACUAAUAGGUCGAGGGCUUAUCUA